GUGGCUGUGGUGAAGUGGUUAACACGCCGGAUUGUGGCUCCGGUACUCGAGGGUUCGAGACCCUCCAGUCACCCCA
rnacentral:tRNA from 1 species